rnacentral:misc_RNA from 1 species
AGUGUCUCCCAUAUUGCCUCAUCGCUCAUGCUUUCAUCGUCACCAGGCAUCAGUGACCUACACAUUCUGAAAUUAUCAAUUAAAACAAUGAUUUCAAAUGCCAGCAACGGUAGAAAGACAAUCUUCAAGUUCACAGCAGCAAAACCAUAAACAGAUAGGCUUUCGAGGUAUAUACAAAGAAGUAAUUCAAAUGCUAUAAGCAAAGGUGUGGCAACAACAGCAUGACACGGUGCCCAAUGACGAUUAUGCGGAAGAGAUGGGGCAGGUAAUGAGAACCUUCCUCGAGCAACAACCACAUGAAACACCCAAAGGGGAAAAAAUAUAACCCACCAACUGUGGGAGACGAAAUGAUCGAGCUUGAGAACGAGCAAGAGCGUGAAACAGAAGAGUGAACCGUGGGCCAAAAGUGCCUGCACGGACUUCAACACUCUUCUCCAAGUCAUUCCUCCUCCACGCACAACUUCCUUCACCUCAAAAAGCCCUCCACCCCUCUUCAACACACACGCCCUCCUUCAAAACCCAAAAACCCAAAAACCCAUCAUGCAAACCAUCGAAAAGAACAGACCCAGAAUGGAAAAAAAAGAAGAAGAAAAAUCAGAAACUGGGUAUGUAAUAGGAAAGCAUGAACAGGAUACAACGACCAAAAAAGCUCUGAAUCCCGG